AUUAUUACGCCCAUUUUAAAGAUGAAGAAACUGAGGGUCCAAGAAGACAAAGGAUUAUACAAACUCAUACAUCUUUCUGCUGACAACUCAGUUUUUUGUACUCCAGAGAGAUUUCUAAAACAAUGAGUGAUGUCACUCAUAGGAACGCUUAGUCAUGCCCUCACUGGAAGCCCAAUGAACUUUCACUGAAAACCAACAUGGGUCUGGCAUGAGAUCUAGAGUUAGAUGAGGGGUUCCUGUCCCUACCUAGAGAAGAUUCUCAGUUGACACUUAAUAAAGAUGACCAGACCAGGCUCAAUUCAGCUAGAUAUCUUCUACGCCUCAUAUCACUUUUCGUAAACUGUGUGUGUAUGUGUGUGUGUGUUUGUGUGUGUGUUUGUGUGUGUGAAUUCUUUGUUCUGUUUCAAGUAUACAAAAUGCAAUGGUUCCUAACAAGAGCUACAGGAUCAUCCUUUAUUUCCACUUCUUUCGUGAUUCUUUCAUGAUUGCACUUAACAAAAUAAUUGAGAUUGCAGCUAACUGGCUUUAGAAGCACACACACACAGAACCUUAAUAUUACAUUUUUUAGCUCAAGAAAUAUGUAUUGAAUGUUUGUCCAACUAUGUCCCUGACGCUCAGUUAAAUGCUAGAAAUAUAGCAAAGACUAAGAUAGACACUGUUCUUACCUCACUGAGUUUAUCUCACGGUGGACAGAGGUAGCAGAAAACAUCUAUAGUGAUUAAAUAAUUUCUUCUCUAACAAAGGAUAGCAAGAAAAAGUACAGGUGCUACGAAUUGGUGUAACAGGGAAACUUAAUCUAGACUAGGGUGGGGGGAGAAAUCAGGGAAGGGCUUCUCAAGCAAAUGACAUCAAACUGGGAUCCUUCCACGUCUAAAUGUAUCUCUAGGUAGAUAGGAACAGUCAGGAAAACAGGCAGUGGACAUUGUGAUUAUGUGGGAGUAUUCUUUUUCUUCGAGAUAUAUGUAUCUAUAGAUAUGUAUAGAUAUCGAUAUCUACAGCUAUAUAUCUCCACAAAAGUUACUUUUUAAAGGCAUUUCCUAUGCAGAUAAAGUACAUACACAUUUGUUGAAAGUUAGACUUAAGCACAAUCAAAUCAAAUCUAUAGCUGGGUUAAACUUUGUUGAUUUUAUAUCUCUGACUCUGUAGCUUUGAUUCAAUAAGGAGCUGUUUAAUAUUCACAGAGGGACUUAGGGAACUCAGAUGUUUGAUUUUUCCGAGAAAUGGAUUGCAAAAUAUUCAUUACAAACUCAAAUACAGUGUCUGCUGGACCUCAACUGAAGUCAUUACAUGAGGCUAAUUUCCCUGUAACACCAGGCAGUUAAGCUCCUUCAUGGAGCAUCCUCUCAGGUCAGAGCACCUCUCCUGUAUGGGUGUGCAAGGAAGACUUGGGCAGGGGGAGCUCGCUGUCUAGUGGGAAAGAUAAGCCAAGCACACAAAAGCACAUUCUGAGUGCACAUGGGCUGCAUUCUCUUAUUCCUGUGAAUAACCCAGAACAUCAGGCAGGACAUUUUGACUGUGGUUGUUUAAUCUCUCCAGCAGCAAGUGCAUAUGACUCACCUGGCAGGAUAAGUUUAAAAUGUGAGGACUAUUCUCAUGCUCAGAGAUCCUAAUGCAGAAGAGCAGAACAGAAAUCUGAAUUCCUAAGUUAUUUCUCCAGUAAUGAAUUCCAGUGAUGACCCUUUGAGAAGCAUUGACCUAGAGGACCUGUAGAUGGUCUUCAGGGGGACUUGAAAUUUCUAAAAUUAUAUAUUGAGUUUUCAUGUAAAUUUGUUUAGACACAGUCCAUUCUGUUCAUCAGUGUCUCUAAAAUCUGUAUUGAAGAUGGCUUAAAAAUUGCCUCCUUGGCUGGGCCAGCCCCAUGAUGUAGUGCUUAAGUUUGGUGCACUCCACUUUGGCAGGCUGGGAUCAAGGGUUUGGAUCCCAGGCGUGGACCUGCACUGCUUGUCAGCCAUGCCCUGGUGGCGACCCACAUAUAAAAGUGGAGGAAGGUUGUCAUGGAUGCUAGCUCAGGGCUAGUCUUCCUCAGGAAAAAAAAAAUCACCUCCUUGGAGAGUGAAUAUUGCUGUGCACUUCCCUAUUGCCAGGUUUUCAUCUGGGCAGUUUGCAUACAUCAUUUUAUUCCAGUGAAAACCUGUGAACUAAGUAUUUUACAAAUGACGAAACUGAAACUUAGAGAAGUUAAAUACUCCCUCUUCAUCAUCAACACCCUCAUACCAUUUGCCCACUUAAAGUGCACAGUUCAAUGGUUUUUAGUCUAUUCAUAGAACUGUGCAGCCAUCACCAUAAUCUAAAUUUAGGACAUUUUCAUCACGUCCUCCAAAAAACCCAUAUCCAUUUCCAGUGAGACCCCAUUUCCCACUCCUAGCCUUAGGCAACCACCAAUCUGCUUUCUGUCUCACUAUUCUGGACAUUGUGUAUCAAUGGAAUCAUUCAAUAUGUUGCCUUUUGUGACUGGCUUUUUUCACUUAGCAUAGUAUUUUCAAAGUUCAUCCAUGUUGUACUAUGUAUCAGUACUUCAUUCCUUUUUAUGGGCAAAUAAUAUUUCACCGUAUGGGCAUAUCACAUUUUAUUUGUCAGGUGAUGGACAUUUGGGUAGUUUACACUUCCUGGAUAUUAUGAAUAAUGCUGCUAUGAACAUUUGUGUACUAGUUUUUGUGUGGACAUACGUUUUCAUUUCUCUUGGGUGUAUACCUAGGGGUAAGUAGAAUUACUGGAUCAUAUGGUAACUAUGUUUCACAUUUUGAUGAACUGUCACACUUUUCUGCAAAGUGGCUGCACCACUUUACAUUUCCAGCAGCAAUGAGUGUGGAUUCCAAUUUCUCCACAUUCUUCCUGACACCUGCUGCUGUCUGUCUUUUUGAUUAUAGUCAUCCUAAGCGGAUGUGAAGUGGUAUCUCACUGUGGUUUUGACUUGCAUCUCCCUAAUGGCUGAUGACGUUGAACACCAUUUUAUGUGUUUAUUGUCCAUUUGUACAUCUUCUUUGGAGAAAGGUCUAUUUGUACAUCUUUUUUGGAGAAACAUCUGUUCAAAUCCAUUGCCCAUUUUUUUUAAUUGGCUUGUCUUUUUAUUAUCGAAUUGUAAGAGUUCUUUACGUGUUCAGGAUACAAGUCACUUAGAUAUAAGAUUUGCAAUAUUUCUGCUAUUCUGUGGGUUGUCUUUUCAUUUUCUUAAUGAUUUCAUUUGCAGCACAAAAGCUUUUAAUUUAAUCCGUGUUAUCUAUUUUUUAUUCCCUUGUCACAUUUGCUUUUGGUAUUACAUCUAAGAGUCUAUUGUUUAACCCAAGGUCACAAAGAUUUAUUUCUAUGUUUUCUUCUAUGACUUCCAUAGUUUUGUAUCUUACAUUUAGGUCCAUAUUCUAUUUUGAGUUAAUUUUUGUAUAUAGUGUGAGAUAGGAGUUCGACUUCAUUUGUAUGUGGACAUCCAGUUGUCCCAGCACCACUGUUGAACAGACUGUUCUUCCCCCCAUUAAAUUGCCUUGGCUCUGUCAAAAACCAACUGGUGACAAAUAUAAGGGUUUAUGUAUGAACUCUUAAUUCUAUUCCAUUAAUCUAAAUAUCUAUCUUAAGUCAGUACUACACUGUCUUGAUUCCAGUAUGUUUUGAAGUAAGGAAAUAUGAGUCUUCUAGUUUUGUUCUUCUUUUUCAAGAUUGUUUUGGCUAUUUGGGGUCUUUUGUAUUUCUAUAUAAAUUUUAGAAUCAGCCUGUCAAUUUGGGGGACAAAAAGCCAUGUAACCGUAAAGCACAUUUUACGCUUUAUCUCCUUUUUCUUUCUUGAUAUUAGACUCAAAAUAUAUAUGUCAUUGGCAGACAUAUAUAUUAUUCAAGAUGCCAUAUUAUUGAAUAAAUGCUUCCAUAUUCAAUUUUCUCCAAGCUAUCAUCAAACAAAAACCUACCAAAAACAGUCAAAGAUGAAAAACUCAAAAUAUCUGUCAUAGUAUGGAUUCUCAAAGCUUUUGCAGCUUAAUUACUUACUAAGUGUUGUGCUCCAAAGCUUUUGUGCUAUUUUGCUGACUGAUUACUGCAUGGGAAUCUAAGACUUGAGAUUAAAAAGUCAAUUGGUUUAUUGUUAAAAUUCUAUUAAUUUGUUUUUAAAUGAUGAAAUAGGGAUUCCAGUCUGCUCUCAGGGAGCACUUUUUCACAAAUAAUAUAUUGUAGGUGAGAAAAGUAUUCUUACCAAUGAAAAAUCAGGUUGUAUGCAAUUAGGACUCUCUUUUUUCUUUUAAAUUAUAUUUUUUAGCUUUCGAAAGGUGCCUGGAGUCCUGUGAUUUUGAAUAACUACAAAACAGGGAAGUUAAGAAAGAAUUGCACAUGCAAUAUUUUUUCUAGUAAAGGAUGUCUUAUUUAUUAAAUUCGUUUAAGCGAUGCUAAUUGAACACACACGGUGAGGCCGACACUGUGUCCAUCUGUGGGAACACAGUGGGGAUGAAACAGACAGAGACUCUACUCAAUGAUCCUGACAGUCAAGUCAAGGAGAGACUUCCUUCCAAGCCUACCAAUUUAGUACUAUGACCGGUAAAUUCCUUCUAAAUCUGUCUGCAUUCCUAGCAGUGUGACCUUGGCCAACACAUGUAACCUUUCUGAGUCGUAAUUUCCUCGCAUGUGAAAUGCGUAUAGGGUUGUGAAGAUUAGAUGGUGUGAACCAAGCACCUAGUAUGAAAUUCCCUCUCCUCCCUCUUCCCUUACAGGACAGUUUCUCCUUCCCACGCAAAUGGAGAAUACUUAAGUAGAUACACCUGCUGAGGGUUCUCUGUGUCUUUUCACGACCUGUCAUGGAGCAGUAGAUAGCAUUGUUCUUGAUGGCUUCGUAUCCUUCCUUGCCAGGAAUUCUCAGAUACACAUUUCAGCAGAAUUCAGGUCUAAAUUUUAUCGCCAUUACUUCCUUUCUUGGUAAGACUUUUUUUCAUACGGAUAUUAGACAAGAGAUAACUAAGCCCUAUGACGCAAACAUUGAUAAACUAAUAGAAAACUCAUGCCUUGAACAUAAGCCCAACGUUCCUGGAAGUCUCUUUUGCAGAAGAUCAGGCUCUCUGGAAAGCUGGAAAUGGUAACACAAGAAAAGAAACAUCCCAGUUGUUUGUUCCAUCUUAAUGAGGAAUCGUUGAAGCUAGAAAACUCAGGCAUCCUCACCUUCUUUUUCUCUCUCACUUUCCUCAUCCAUGCUGGGCAAUGGAGCUUACUAACAUUUUUUAACCCCUUCCUUGCUCUUUGUCCCAUUAUCAAAUUGUUCAGACUCUACUAACCACUCUUCUUGACAAAACUCUCAGAACUGCUAGUCAGCCAGCCUCCAGUCUCACCCCAUUUCAACCCUUCUUCAAAGUGCUACCAGAUCAGUCUUUCUAAAGUAUAAGGCAGAUUGCUUUGCUCCUCUGCUUACAAAUCCUCAACACCCCCUCACUGCCUUUAGAAAAAGCCUUCAGGUUAAACUCAUUCCCCUCCGCCACCAGUACAGAGUAAUUACAAAACAGUAUGAUAAAUACUGAGGAGAGAAACCCUAAGGCUAUGAGAACAGGAGGGAAACAAUCUUACGCUACAGCUGAGGUGGUGGGCAACAUUUUGAGAGAGGUGUUGAUAUUGAGCAAUGUCUUUUCUGAAAUUAGAUUUAUAAAGUGUCCAAACCAUUGACUCUUUUACUGUUCUUUCUCCUGUAUAAGGAUGUUCACUCUGGUGGAUCACAACCUUGUUCAGCAUACGCCCCGUUACUCCCUGUGGAGUGUUAUGCAUGCACGAGUAGGUGUGACUUGUCCUGUGACUUGUGCUCCUCUUUGCAGAAGGGUUAUACUUUCCUGCCCAGUUUGAAUUGACGUCAGCCUUGGCCACAUAACUUCUUCCUCCACUGAAACAUCCUGACUCAGGUUUUUUUGUACAAAUAGCACAGGAGGACACCAGCCCCACGCAGCUGGCAGCCCAGGGGUCAUACCUUCUAUCCUCACAUCAGCAGACCGAGACCUCUGCUCUGGAGCUUGGGCACCUUUGGGAGGCUGAGCUGGAGCCAGAAGUGGGACUGGAGCUACAACUGCAGCCUGGGUCUUGAUUUGAGCCUUGGCCUUGGCCUUUGGCCGGCAGAGCCUGAGACCCUUGGUGACGUAGGCAGAGCACACUUCCCGAGCUUCAGGUGGCUAAUGUAGGCAAGUUGAUUGAACUUGUGACAGACACCCUUUGGAUCAUGAACUUCACCUUGUUGGGCUCUAACAGGGCCUUGACAGCCUCAGCAUGCACACUCAUGGCCUUGAAGUUGUUGGCCUGCAUCUUCUUCAGACCCUUCUUCUGAGGGUUCUGGUUUUCUUAAUGCAAAUAAUUUUUUAUCCCUUGAAAAUUAAUUCUAAAGUAUAAAUUGAAUAUGUGAACUUACUACUUGUGUGUUGGGUUUUAGAAUAAGUUUUGUAAUCAGUAGACUAGCCUCCCAGCAUUUGAAUGUAAAGUGUUUGCAGUGUUUAAGAGAUUCUGACAAAUAAGCCUGCAUAGAUUCCUAAUAAAUUGUGUAAUUGAUUUUAGAGUUUUGGACUUAAGUUGAAAGUUGUAAAAUAAUUUGCCCAAGUAUUUAAACUGUCUUGGUAAUUUGUUUAAGGUAUUUUGAAAUUAACUAUGUUUUUAAGUUAAUUCAUUAGGCAUAUGAUUGUUUCAGUACUGGGGAAAAACUUGAUAGUUGGGGUUGCAAAUUUUAAAGUUUUUGUAAGAGAACUGAACAUAAUACUUAUAAAUGCACUUAAAUAUUUAAAUAACUUAAUUUACUGUUUGUAAAUAGUUUAAUAUGUUUGAAUUGAGGUUAUCAAACAUUAAUCAAAGGCUCUCCCAGAGGUAGUGGUUCUUAUUUUACGUAACAUGCACUUGGUUGAUAAAUUUACAAGACUGACAAAAGAUGGAAAGGCUUACAGUAAACUAGGUUUCUGAAUUUUUACUUUAGUAAAUGGAAUAUUAAUUUACAACCCAAGUAGCUUUAAGCAGCUUAUUUAAACUUGAAAUUCUCCCAUGAAGACAGAAAUUGACAUUGAUAAUCAGGAGACCAGAGACUAAAUUUCCAAUUUAACAAGUAUAAGAAUGAUUCCAAGUCAGAAACCAUUACAAUUGGAAUCAAAGUUACAUCACACAUGACUGAAUUAAACUCUCCCAAGUUGGAUAAAUAGUUGAAAUGUAGGGCUAGCCAUGUUCAGAAGUUUUUCUUCUAUUUCUGCUUUAUUCUCAGUGCUGAAAAUGUGUUUCUGGCACUACAUGCUUCAUUCCAUUCGUUGGUUAGAAUCCCUUACCGUUUUUUGAGUAUAACUUGUAAUAAUCCUCCUGGCGAUACUCUAUCAAGUAACUCUCUAUCAACAGUAGCUUAGCUCUAUACAUAACCUCAGGUACUGGUCUGUAUGAUUACAAAGAAGAGAUGUAUAAUUUUAAUUGCCGAAGAACUUGCAAAAUUAUUUUUAUAACAAAAAAGUUGUAUUGAUUUGAGUCAUGGAUCACCUUAUUUCCUUUUUUAAUUGUCAAGAAACUAAUAAAACAUUUAGAGAGAAAUAUUCUCCUUCAUCAAGGUCUUUUCUAUAUUGUGUCCCUUUGAAGACCAAAGAAUGUGUUAAGUAAGCUUAAAUUAUCAGUAAUAUCUUUAAAUAUGCAUAUAAAAAAUAUAUGGUAAUGUGCUAAAAUGUUAACUCUGAGUAGAAUAUUCUGUGUAAUUUAGCUUUUUAUGCAUUUUGUAUUAUUGUUGAAAUUAUCUCAUAAAUGUAUAUUUUCAUAAUCUGAACAAAUUAACAUUUAAAAAAUUGAUGUAUACAAUGUUCUAAAUGUGAUAUGAGACAAACAUACUUACAUAAAAAUAUAUGACCAAAAGGAACCAACUAAAAGAGCUCCCAAUGGCCAAAGCUGGAAUGACUUGAGCAACAAAGUAAUGUAGUACUGGAUUCUAAUCCAAAAUAUAAAAUAAAUAUCCACAGGUCCAUACUGAUAUAAACAAAUGAUUGAAUAAAUUAAUAAAUAGUGGAGAAGAGAUCAGUCUUCUGUGCAGAAAAGUCCCAAAUUAUUGAUGUAGUCACUCCCCACUCCUUAAGUGUGAGCUGUGCGUGGUGGCUUGCUUCCGAAGAGUGGGGUGUGGUAUUGGGGGAUCAUGUUUGCAGUGGAGAAACUAGACAAUCACUGUCUCAGGUGGGUGAUCAAGGUCAACAUCAUGGUCAUUAAGGAUGUUGAUAGUAUGUAACCUUGAUGUGAUGUGAUAAAAAUGGCACUUUACCUAUAUGAUCUUCCUCCCUCAAAUCCAUAAUCCCAUCUAACAUCAGACAAUAUCAGACAAAUCCCAACUGAGAGGCAUCCUGCAAAAUACCUGACUAGUCUUCCUCAAAACUCUCAGGGUUAUUUAAAAAAUGAUAAUAAUAAUAAAAAUAAAGAAAAGAAAUUCUGAGAAACUGUCACAGCCCAGAGGAGCCUAAGGAGACAUGAGUAAAUGUAAUGUGGUGUCCUGGAUGGGAUCCUGGAACAGAAUAAAGACAUCAGGUAAAAAC
ensembl:lncRNA